rnacentral:lncRNA from 1 species
UGACUCAAAUUAAAAUAGGUUGAUGCAGAUAUAUUUUUUUUAAGUAAACCUGACUUUUUCUUUGGUGGUUGUUUAUACUACUUCAAAAAAAAAAAAAAAGUCUUUAUUUAUAUAUAGCUCUGGUGGUAGUGAGACGUGAAAUACGAAAGCCAUGUCACUGCCAUGUGACCACAAGAUAUGACCACUAUUCUGAAGAGCAGAUUAGGAAAUGUCUUUGACCUUUUUUUUUCUUUUUCAUGUCCCUCCUGAUUGGAGAAGAGGGAUAUGCUGAUCAGGGGAUGAAUUGAUCUAGCAGUAUUUGUAAAUGGUAUAUGAAUUGAAUUGGUAAGAAAGUAAGUAUUUUAUCAUGUAGUGUUGGUAUAUUUUCUGUGCAGUCCUCAAUUUUGAAAAACCAAUGAAGGAAAAAGCCCUGAGGAAAUAGGCAUUUCCAAGAAAGCUUCUGACUUGUUCAGAGAGAGACAGUCCAUAUCCAGUUUCAAACUACUUAUUAUAAGUAGUCCCAUCUCCUUCCAAACUGUCCCACUUUGAGUCACAGACACAGCAGGAGAUGAGUUUUAAUCUCCAUUUUCUUCCAGUGCUUGGAUGAUGCAGGAACUGCUAGUGACUCAGUACAGCAGCACAAACUGUCUUCAUCUUACGUAAAAGCUCCAGGCUGCAUGAAAGCAGGAGCCUUACAUAAACAGCUAGUAUUUCAGGGUGAAAAAGCGUAUCAAAGAAGCAAAUCAACAGGGACAGCAUGAAAUAUCAGUGCCCAUUACAACAGGAGCUUCUUACAGGGACUCAGCUGUUGUCUCAUGGAAAGUGGGAUUUGCUUAGUUCCCAAUUUCAAGGAGGGUAGAUGCUGUGGUGAGGUCCAGGCAGCUUUGUGGAAACGUCUCCAAUGGGCUGGUAGGAUGAGAAGAUCCAGGGGUAGUUUGGAAAACGAGGAGAAGCAUCACCUCCCAAGACGGUAAACCUACUGAAAAGACUAUUCAAAUUCCAGAAGGAC